UUUUCGCGUUAGGGAUUGUAAUGGAAAUCCUUUGGCGAUUUUAUGAGCCAAAGAUUGCAGUGAAAAGCCCGCCCGAAG
rnacentral:sRNA from 1 species